CCUUGCCUCCCAAAGUGAUAGGAUUACAGGUGUGAGCCACUGUGUUCAGCCCACUGUAGUUAAAUAUCUCCAUUACAAAAACAAACAAACAAACAAAACAAAAUUAAAGAAAAGUGGUGCCCUCAGAGCUAAUUACAGAUUAAUUAAACAACCAAGAAAAACCUUACAUCUGCCUAGCUGGCCAUUUUUAAAACUGGCCUCAUAAUGAGUAUUUUCGCUCUAUAAUUGGGAAAGCAUCGCCAGGAGUCUCAGAAGAACCGGCAAUACCAAGAUUCCUCUCCAUCAGCCACAAGAGAAAUCAGAGAGAAACAGAAGCAGUUAGGAGACAAAGGUAAAACUCCUAAUAAAAAGACAAGGCAAAUAAACUCAACACUGAACUAUAGAACUAGAAUUUUUAUUCCUUUUUUUUCCCAAAAAUUUAAAUUAACAGUCUGUUCAACAGAGAUUUGGUUUCUAAACUGCAUCUAGCUCUCACUGUACCCACGUGUGUGACAGAAAGAGAGAGAAAGAGUCACAAACAUUCCAAACACUGGAAAUCAUCAUAAAUGGCAAGCUAGGGGAAGUAGUUUCACUGUACCCAGAAGAAAUGGAUUCCACAGCCAUGCAGGGACCUGAAUCUCUGUCCGGCUUUCACCUUGUCUUCUAGACUGGCCUCAUUAUCAUGACAUUUGCAUUUUUUUUUUUAAAGAACAUCAAAGAACAAAAGUUAUCUCCCUUCUCACCACUGGCCGUUAGGUGAUACCCAUUUAUCAGGGAGCAUACUUUUCUAUAAUGAAUUUAUUUCAGCAUAGGGACAGCAACUUAAGACAUAAAUGCUAAGAUGGAGGCAGAAAGGAAAGAGGUUCGCCCGGAGAUCCAAAGGAGAAGUGGGAGGGGACACUCUGAAAGGCAGGGAAGAACCCCGAAAGGAGGGGCUGGGGGCUCAAGCUGGUUGUGAAAGCCUUUCCCCUUUACGCUUUGCUCUCAGUGUGGCGGGCAGAUUGGACGAGCAGGUGCCCUUAGAGGUCCUCACAGGCACCUUUGCUUACUUAGUCCUUUUACAACUUGGAUUAAUGUUUAACUUCCUUUGGGGAAAGAUUAAAAAACAAAGGCAGAAACUCAGACCUCGGUAGCAGUGGCAUCCUCACCCCAGGGCUAGACUCUACAGCUCCUGCUCUUUGUCCCCAAGUCUCCUCCCCUCUCCUUUGUCUCCAGGCCCCAGGGGAAGGCUAGAGAUGAUCACGUGACCGGGAUGGGGCUGUGUUCCUGGCAGUCCCCUGGGCUUCCUGCAGGGACCUGGAUUUCUAGUAUUUCAGGCUGCUGUCCCGUUUUUUUUUUCAUUUCCUUUUUGUUUUGUUGUUGAUGGGACCACAUGUCCACAACACUGGGAUUCCCUCACCCUCAGAGUCUAGAAUCCAAUUUCUUGGAUUUCAGUGUUUUUAAGGUGGGGGGUCUCGCUAUGCUUCCCAGGCUGGACUCAAAUACCUGGGAUCAAGUGAUUCUCCCUCCUCAGCUUCCUGAGUAGCUGGGACUACAGAGACGGCAUGUCAGUCUGGUGGUCUAGCCAGAGGAGGACUCCUGGAGCUGGUGAACUGUGCAUGGAUAUGCAGUCAUGGGCAGCCCACCUCCUACUCCUCACCCCCCAGUGCCUGCGAGGGUCUGCACUCACCCUGUCACCUCCACCUUCAGGAUCUGGCCAGCCAGGUCAGCCAGCUUGUCCCAAGGGUUGCUUGGGCUACACCUUACACUGAGACAUCUCACAAUUUGGAGCUAGACUUGCUGCUCAGGAGUGUGGAGGCUGCAGGAAACAAUGGCAGGAGAUCUGGGCUUUUUCUGGCUGCAGGCCUGACUGCAGCAGAGAAGGCAACAGAGAAGGAAAGAGAGAGGAAGAAAGAGUGAGAGAGAGACUGGCUUCUCCUCCAUUUCUCAAGCAAGAAGGCUUGCCAGCACCGCCCACCAUGGAGCUGCGGCUGGUCCUGGGGCGAAUGCAGAGCUGAGCAGCAUACAGCUCCUGUUCUCAUAGACCUGGCAACUCUGACAUGGAAGUAAGGCUUGCCCAAGGGCUGCACUGCUGGAUGCAUCCAGACCCUUCGAUAAGGGGUCUGGGAGGGGAGGGGGCAGACAGUGAGGGCAGGAUGGUAGAAAAUGUGUUGACUCAGUGCCAGGCCCUGAGCUA